rnacentral:rRNA from 1 species
AACAGGGAUUGCCCUAGUAACGGCGAGUGAAGCGGCAACAGCUCAAAUUUGAAAUCUGGCCUUUCAGGUCCGAGUUGUAAUUUGUAGAGGAUGCUUCGGCGUUGGACCCGACCUAAGUUCCUUGGAACAGGACGUCACAGAGGGUGAGAAUCCCGUACGUGGCCGGUGUCCCUCGCCAUGUGAAGCUCCUUCGACGAGUCGAGUUGUUUGGGAAUGCAGCUCUAAAUGGGAGGUAAAUUUCUUCUAAAGCUAAAUACUGGCCAGAGACCGAUAGCGCACAAGUAGAGUGAUCGAAAGAUGAAAAGCACUUUGGAAAGAGAGUUAAAAAGUACGUGAAAUUGUUGAAAGGGAAGCGCUUGCAACCAGACCUGCCCGCGGUCGCUCAUCCAGGCUUCUGCCUGGUGCACUCUUCCGCGGUCAGGCCAGCAUCGGUUCGGGCGGUCGGACAAAGGCGGCGGGAAUGUGGCUCCCCUCGGGGAGUGUUAUAGCCCGCCGUGUAAUGCGGCCAGUCCGGACUGAGGUCCGCGCUUCGGCUAGGAUGCUGGCGUAAUGGUUGUAAGCGGCCCGUCUUGAAACACGGACCAAGGAGUCUAACAUCUGUGCGAGUGUUUGGGUGUCAAGCCCGGACGCGUAAUGAAAGUGAACGGAGGCGGGAACCUUUGGGUGCACCGUCGACCGAUCCUGAUGUCUUCGGAUGGAUUUGAGUAAGAGCAUAGCUGUUGGGACCCGAAAGAUGGUGAACUAUGCCUGAAUAGGGUGAAGCCAGAGGAAACUCUGGUGGAGGCUCGCAGCGGUUCUGACGUGCAAAUCGAUCGUCAAAUUUGGGCAUAGGGGCGAAAGACUAAUCG